rnacentral:rRNA from 1 species
GAUUGAACGCUGGCGGCGUGCUUAACACAUGCAAGUCGUACGCGAAAGGGACUUCGGUCCCGAGUAAAGUGGCGCACGGGUGAGUAACACGUGGAUGAUCUGCCUCUAUGAUGGGGAUAACAGUUGGAAACGACUGCUAAUACCGAAUACGCUCAUGAUGAACGUUGUGAGGAAAGGUGGCCUCUGCUUGCAAGCUAUCGCAUAGAGAUGAGUCCGCGUCCCAUUAGCUCGUUGGUGGGGUAACGGCCUACCAAGGCAACGAUGGGUAGCCGAUCUGAGAGGAUGAUCGGCCACACUGGAACUGAAACACGGUCCAGACUCCUACGGGAGGCAGCAGUGGGGAAUAUUGCGCAAUGGGCGAAAGCCUGACGCAGCGACGCCGCGUGAGGGAUGAAGGUCUUCGGAUCGUAAACCUCUGUCAGAAGGGAAGAAACUGGGGUGUUCUAAUCAGCAUCCCACUGACGGUACCUUCAAAGGAAGCACCGGCUAACUCCGUGCCAGCAGCCGCGGUAAUACGGAGGGUGCAAGCGUUAAUCGGAAUCACUGGGCGUAAAGCGCACGUAGGCUGUUAUGUAAGUCAGGGGUGAAAGCCCACGGCUCAACCGUGGAACUGCCCUUGAUACUGCACGACUCUGAAUCCGGGAGAGGGUGGCGGAAUUCCAGGUGUAGGAGUGAAAUCCGUAGAUAUCUGGAGGAACAUCAGUGGCGAAGGCGGCCACCUGGACCGGUAUGAC